rnacentral:lncRNA from 1 species
CAUUUUGGUCCAAGUUGUUUUCAAAACAGAACCACAUCAACCCUUCAUUCUUCACCCGUUUGUUAAUGUUAAUAGAGUUGAUCAAGUGGCACGUUAAGUGCUGACAUGACCACAUGUGGUGAUUCCACGCUCAAAAGUUAUCGUGCUCCUAUGUAUCGCUAGAUCCAAUAGGGAAAUCAAGACUACAUAAUUAUGGUUUGAAAAUAAUUAGAUUAGUUUGGUUGACUUUUGUUGAUUUGGAAAAUAUCGAUGGAUUUGGGAGAGUUGAUUUUAAUUGAUUUUGAAAUAUUAAUAAUAUAUCAUUAUUUUAAUUCAAUGGAACUAAUAGCUUAGAGACGGUGUCUUUGCAUUUUUAGAGAAGUUAGAGAUGACUCAAACCAUGACCUUACUAUAAAAAAACCGUAAAAUUCAGUAAGUGGUAAGAUAGUUUUGAAUUAUUUUUAUAUGAAAUUAAUAGCUUUGAGGCAUAGACCUUUUUCCCCAUUUUCAGAGAAUUUAGAGAGAACUCGAAUCAUGACCUUACUAUAAAAAAACCAUAAAAUUCAUUUAGGAGAUAAAAUCAUUUUUAAUUAUUUUUUAUAUGGAACUAAUAGCUUUGAGUCAGUAUUGGCCGUAAACCUUCUUCCCAUAAAAUUACUUAUUUAGUCACACUUUAUAACAUUAUAUGUAAUGAUAAUUAGGACUCAAGUUAGUUUUGUGGCCUAUUGUUAUUUCCUAAUAGGUUUGCAGACAUAAAUAAAUAAAAAAAUCUAUAAAUUAAUACAAAGAUGGGAAAAUAACAAACUUGAUGGUGCAGGUGGUUAGGAAGCAAAAAAAAAUAUGGCUUUUGUGAGGUGCAAAGAUUUGGACAAAGAGUUCUUUAAUUGUAUGAGCCAGUGAAACACACAGCUCCUUUAGUAGUGGGUAAUAUCUUCUACAUCUUUGUCGUAAACCUCUUCCAUAUCUAUGCCUAAUGGAGAUAGUAACAUUGCUUUGCUCCAAUGGAACGAAACACAUGGGAUAUCCACGAAGAGGCUGGUUCAUAUGCAUAAAUUGUGGCCCCAAGUUUGGAAAAGAGAACAUUUUAGGGAUGACCCAUGUUUUGUUGUGAGUGGCUUACCCGUGAAGUAGUAGUGGAUAUAGUGGUGGAUAUAGUGGUGGCUAUAGUGGUGGUUAGCUUUGUUAUUGGUAUGGAAGUGGUGUCUGAAACUCGUCCAUUGUAGGAAUGAAUGAAGUGAGGCUUUCAGGAUUUUUGUUUAGUAAAGUGAGAGUGAAAGUUUAUCAAGGUAGUAUAAAAAGGGGUUGAGGCAAUGGAACAAACACAAGAUUUAAGGUGAUUAAGACAAAUACUUCAAAAGAAAUUGGUAUGAAGGAAAAUUAAGAUGAGAAUUGAGAAUAGGAAAGAGACUCCAUUCUAUGAUACCAUGGGAUGUAACAAUAUCAAGAGGAAUAGUUCAUUUGAUCCAUUUGAGGUAGAGAUGUUGAUGUGGGUGACAUGGAUUAAAGUGGAAGCCAAGCAAGAAUGAUGGUGGCACCAUACGAGGACUGCUGAAAAGAAGAGAAUCCCCCAUUUCAUUAUGCGUUAGACUUUUUUAGUAGAAGAUACACAUUACUUCUACUUGAAGAUGGGAUCUGCCACAAACUCAUAGCAACCAAAUAUAUUUAUAAAGUUGUCUCUUUUUCUUUUUUGUAAUUUCGUGACAUUAAGAAGGUGAAGUAGGUAACAUCUUCUAAAUCUUCCCCCUCUCUUUUUGUAACAGUGUAAGAUUAAAUGAGACACUUCUCUUUCCUCUAGAAACUGUCCCCUCAAGAUUAAUAUAGGUGUGGCAUGUACAUGUCAAAGAAAAUGUUCCAUCUAGUGAUGAAAAUGAAUGGGUUUUUAGUGUUUUUUUGUAAACCUCCUUCAACUCGUUUUUAAAUGGGAGUAUAUAAUAAAAAAGUCUAACCACCUAGCAUAUCUAGAUAAUUUUUUGAGAGACAGCUAUGGUAAAGAUUAACCAAAUAAUUAGGGUUUUACUAUUAACAAAUAAAUCUAUUUGCAAAUUUGUUGGAAAAUUUGUGGUGUUACAUCUAGAGGUAUCACAUUGUGCCUAGUAAUAAACACAAAAUUUUAAACCCUAAAUCGUGUAUCUUCACCUCAGAUUUUCACCCCCAAAUAAUUUUAGUUCUCUUAAGGAUAAUUUGGAUACAUCAAGGGUUAAUGCUUCUGGAAUUUACAAACAGAAUUGUAAUCGCGAACUAUGAUGGGUAAAACUGAGGAACACGUUGAUGGAAAAGGCUCGAAAUGAUAUUCAUAAAAAGCUAAAUGUGUGGAAGUUUUCUUCAUUAUCAAGGAAUUUACAGAAACCAAAGAAUGUUAUUGCAAAGACAGAGUUGAAAAUAAAGAAAACGAAGAUCUGCCAAGAAGAGAG